rnacentral:rRNA from 1 species
AGUGAACGCUGGCGGUAGGCCUAACACAUGCAAGUCGAACGGCAGCACAGUAAGAGCUUGCUCUUACGGGUGGCGAGUGGCGGACGGGUGAGGAAUACAUCGGAAUCUACUUUUUCGUGGGGGAUAACGAAGGGAAACUUACGCUAAUACCGCAUACGACCUACGGGUGAAAGCAGGCGAACUUUGGACCUUGCGCGAUUGAAUGAGCCGAUGUCGGAUUAGCUAGUUGGCGGGGUAAAGGCCCACCAAGGCGACGAUCCGUAGCUGGUCUGAGAGGAUGAUCAGCCACACUAGAACUGAGACACGGUCCUAACUCCUACGGGAGGCAGCAGUGGGGAAUAUUGAACGAUGGGCGCAAGCCUGAUCCAGCCAUACUGCGUGGGUGAAGAAGGCCUUCGAGUUGUAAAGCCCUUUUGUUGGGAAAGAAAAGCAGCAGGUUAAUACCCCGCUGUUCUGACGGUACCCAAAGAAUAAGCACCGGCUAACUUCGUG